ensembl:lncRNA LINC00607 long intergenic non-protein coding RNA 607
AUGCUGGGGCUGAUUCAGGGAGAAACACUGCCUCUUAUUGAGUCACGAGCCCAUCCUGGAACUUCACUGGGCUUUGCUUGGAUGACUUGCCCGGCGUCCAUGGUCCAGACCUUCCCCAGCAGGCAGCAGAGUCCAAUGAGGCAGAACAGCCCAGAACGUUACUUCCCACUGUCUGCUUCUUCAACUCAUGAGAUGGAAACUAUCAGGAUCUCAGGAAUAGCUGAGGACGGCCUGCCUUCUUCUGGUUGUGUUUUCAAUGACUAAUUCAUAAACACAAGAGUUGUUUUAAGGCAGAGUAUCAUAUCGCAUCAAAACCGCUCCAUAAGUCCUGCCACUCCACGUGCAAUGCCAUGAACUUGAAGAAACUGCUGCUGCUGCAAACCAAUGGGCUUUGGGGAACUGUGCUUCCCUUCAGAAAGGAAAGAGUAUUUAACGAUGAAAAGGAAGGAUUGUGUCUUACUUAUACUUACGGGCUUGUGGUUCAGCGGAGACCACACUGGACUGGACUGAACAGACAACUGAAGGGCUCUCUCUACCUUUCAGCAUCUCUGUCUGCCUUUCUGACUACCUAAAAAUUACUGCAACCUCUGAUUCUGUUUCUAAGGUGGAUUUUCCCUACUCAUGCUUCCUAGAGAUUUGGUGAGGAUUUGUUGAGUCAUGGGACAUUUCAGCUUGCCAAGUGUCCCUUAACGGAGAGGAUGACUAUGUCACUGAAGAAGUGGAGGGGCUGAAAAUGGACUCAGCUCUUGGCCCCUGUAGAGACUGCAAGACUCCGUGCACAACGUGACAGUCGGGGCUUCCUCUGAGCACUGCGCCGUUCAGCCCUAUUGCGCAACCUGCCACGCCCUGUUACUGUAAAUGGAACACCGGCUGUGAGCUGGUCAAGGCCCUGCCAUGACAAGGCCACUUGCAUAGGACUCCAAAUUAAAAAAAAAAAAAAGGCCUUUCUUAUUGACUGAAAAACUGGUUGUGUUUUUCAUAUUUUUCACUUUCUGGAGCUGAAUUAUUAAUAGGCAAAAAUUAGGUGGGGCUUCAUUGAUAUUCUCACCAGCUUUUACAAACCAAGAAUCGGAAAGUGUGCCUCGGUGAGUUGCCUUUUGUUAGCAGUGUGGAGAUGCAGGCAAAAGUGAUCAGCGUGGUUUGUAUUUGCAGCCGCCCCUCCCCUCUCUUCAGAGUCUCUCCUUCCCGGCUGCAAGGUGCGUCUUUAAUGUGCGACACUGACAAGGCGUUUCAGCCAUGCAGCUAAUUAAUAUCAUGCCGAGGCUCAAUGUGACAGGUCCUUCAGACUCAUAAAUCAGAAACCACUAACAAAUGUCGUUCCUUUUCUGAUCUCUUUCUCUUGCUUUUUAAUAUGUUGAUUUACUUUCAGUAUGCAUAACCAAAAAAGAAACAAACCAAUAAAAA